rnacentral:rRNA from 1 species
AACGAACGCUGGCGGCGUGCUUAACACAUGCAAGUCGAACGCGAACGAGUUCUUCGGAACUUUAGUAGAGUGGCGCACGGGUGAGUAACGCGUAAGUAAUCUGUCCUGAUAUCUGGAAUAACACUCCGAAAGGUGUGCUAAUACCGGAUACGCUGAGAAAUCAGGAAAGGUGGCCUCUUCAUGAAAGCUACUGUAUCAGGAGGAGCUUGCGUACCAUUAGCUAGUUGGUGGGGUAAUGGCCUACCAAGGCAACGAUGGUUAGCGGGUCUGAGAGGAUGAUCCGCCACACUGGAACUGGAACACGGACCAGACACCUACGGGUGGCUG